AAUGAACGCUGGCGGCAGGCCUAACACAUGCAAGUCGAGCGAGCAUUUCGGUGCUAGCGGCGGACGGGUGAGUAACGCGUGGGAACGUGCCCUUUUCUGCGGAAUAGUCCUGGGAAACUGGGGGUAAUACCGCAUACGCCCUUUUGGGGAAAGAUUUAUCGGAGAAGGAUCGGCCCGCGUUGGAUUAGGUAGUUGGUGGGGUAAUGGCCCACCAAGCCGACGAUCCAUAGCUGGUUUGAGAGGAUGAUCAGCCACACUGGGACUGAGACACGGCCCAGACUCCUACGGGAGGCAGCAGUGGGGAAUCUUAGACAAUGGGGGCAACCCUGAUCUAGCCAGGCCGCGUGAGUGAUGAAGGCCUUAGGGUUGUAAAGCUCUUUCAGCUGGGAAGAUAAUGACGGUACCAGCAGAAGAAGCCCCGGCUAACUCCGU
rnacentral:rRNA from 1 species